rnacentral:rRNA from 1 species
CCUACGGGAGGCUGCAGUGGGGAAUAUUGGGCAAUGGGCGCAAGCCUGACCCAGCAACGCCGCGUGAAGGAAGAAGGCUCUCGGGUUGGAAACUUCUUUUGGCAGGGAAGAGUAGAAGACGGUACCUGACGAAUAAGCCACUGCUAACUACGUGCCAGCGGCCGCGGUAAUACGUAGGUGGGAAGCGUUGUCCGGAUUUACUGGGUGUAAAGGGCGUGUAGCCGGGUUGACAAGUCAGAUGUGAAAUCCUGCGGCUUAACCGCAGAACAGCAUUUGAAACUGUUGAUCUUGAGUACUGGAGAGGCAGACGGAAUUCCUAGGGUAGCGGUGAAAUGCGUAGAUAUUAGGAGGAACACCAGUGGCGAAGGCGGUAUGCUGGACAGCAACUGACGGUGAGGCGCGAAAGUGUGGGGAGCAAACAGGAUUAGAUACCCUAGUAGUC